rnacentral:rRNA from 1 species
CCUACGGGUGGCUGCAGUGGGGAAUAUUGGACAAUGGGCGAAAGCCUGAUCCAGCCAUGCCGCGUGUGUGAAGAAGGCCUUCGGGUUGUAAAGCACUUUCAGUGGGGAAGAAAGCCUUGGGGCUAAUACCCUCGAGGAAGGACAUCACCCACAGAAGAAGCACCGGCUAACUCCGUGCCAGCAGCCGCGGUAAUACGGAGGGUGCGAGCGUUAAUCGGAAUGUACUGGGCGUAAAGCGCGCGUAGGCGGUCUGAUAAGCCGGUUGUGAAAGCCCCGGGCUCAACCUGGGAACGGCAUCCGGAACGGUCAGGCUAGAGUGCAGGAGAGGAAGGUAGAAUUCCCGGUGUAGCGGUGAAAUGCGUAGAGAUCGGGAGGAAUACCAGUGGCGAAGGCGGCCUUCGGGACUGACACUGACGCUGAGGUGCGAAAGCGUGGGUAGCAAACAGGAUUAGAUACCCGAGUAGUC